rnacentral:lncRNA from 1 species
UAAUUUUGAUUGGUUACAAGUGCUAGAGAUGCUUGAAGAGUGUUUAAAAGUGUGGAGAAAGACUUGUUAUAAUUGGGUCCCAAAUGGGCUAAGAACUCGGAAACAUUGAGUUGAACCACUAAAUGACUUAUCUAUUGUUUUUUGGGGAUAGAAUAUGUUAGAAUACAAUAAAUUUGAUUGGUUACAAGUGCUAGAGAUGCGUGAAGAGUGUUUAAAAGUGUGGAGAAAGACUUGUUGAAAUUGGGUCCAAAAUAGGAUAUGAACUCGGAAACAUUGCGUUGAAGCACUAAAUGAC